rnacentral:rRNA from 1 species
AAAAAAGGUAAGCUACUAAGAGCGAAUGGUGGAUGCCUUGACUGGUAAAGGCGAUGAAGGACGUACUAGACUGCGAUAAGCUACGGGGAGCUGUCAAGAAGCUUUGAUCCGUAGAUUUCCGAAUGGGGCAACCCAAUGUAUAGAGAUAUACAUUACCUAUAUAGGAGCGAACGAGGGGAAUUGAAACAUCUUAGUACCCUCAGGAAAAGAAAUCAAUAGAGAUUGCGUCAGUAGCGGCGAGCGAAAGCGCAAGAGGGCAAACCCAGUGCUUGCACUGGGGGUUGUAGGACUGCAAUGUGCAAGAGCUGAGUUUAGCAGAACAUUCUGGAAAGUAUAGCCAUAGAGGGUGAUAGUCCCGUAUGCGAAAAACAAAGCUUAGCUAGCAGUAUCCUGAGUAGGGCGGGACACGAGGAAUCCUGUCUGAAUCCGGGUCGACCACGAUCCAACCCUAAAUACUAAUACCAGAUCGAUAGUGCACAAGUACCGUGAGGGAAAGGUGAAAAGAACUGAGGUGAUCAGAGUGAAAUAGAACCUGAAACCAUUUGCUUACAAUCAUUCAGAGCACUAUGUAGCAAUACAGUGUGAUGGACUGCCUUUUGCAUAAUGAGCCUGCGAGUUGUGGUGUCUGGCAAGGUUAAGCAAACGCGAAGCCGUAGCGAAAGCGAGUCUGAAUAGGGCGCUUAGUCAGAUGCUGCAGACCCGAAACGAAGUGAUCUAUCCAUGAGCAAGUUGAAGCUAGUGUAAGAACUAGUGGAGGACUGAACCCAUAGGCGUUGAAAAGCCCCGGGAUGACUUGUGGAUAGGGGUGAAAGGCCAAUCAAACUUCGUGAUAGCUGGUUCUCUCCGAAAUAUAUUUAGGUAUAGCGUUGUGUCGUAAUAUAAGGGGGUAGAGCACUGAAUGGGCUAGGGCAUACACCAAUGUACCAAACCCUAUCAAACUCCGAAUACCUUAUAUGUAAUCACAGCAGUCAGGCGGCGAGUGAUAAAAUCCGUCGUCAAGAGGGAAACAACCCAGACUACCAGCUAAGGUCCCUAAAUCUUACUUAAGUGGAAAACGAUGUGAAGUUACUUAAACAACCA